rnacentral:rRNA from 1 species
GACGAACGCUGGCGGCGUGCUUAACACAUGCAAGUCGAACGGAAAGGCCCAGCUUUUGUGGGGUGCUCGAGUGGCGAACGGGUGAGUAACACGUGAGUAACCUGCCCUUGACUUUGGGAUAACUUCAGGAAACUGGGGCUAAUACCGGAUAGGAGCUCCUGCUGCAUGGUGGGGGUUGGAAAGUUUCGGCGGUUGGGGAUGGACUCGCGGCUUAUCAGCUUGUUGGUGGGGUAGUGGCUUACCAAGGCUUUGACGGGUAGCCGGCCUGAGAGGGUGACCGGCCACAUUGGGACUGAGAUACGGCCCAGACUCCUACGGGAGGCAGCAGUGGGGAAUAUUGCACAAUGGGCGGAAGCCUGAUGCAGCAACGCCGCGUGCGGGAUGACGGCCUUCGGGUUGUAAACCGCUUUCGCCUGUGACGAAGCGUGAGUGACGGUAAUGGGUAAAGAAGCACCGGCUAACUACGUGCCAGCAGCCGCGGUGAUACGUAGGGUGCGAGCGUUGUCCGGAUUUAUUGGGCGUAAAGGGCUCGUAGGUGGUUGAUCGCGUCGGAAGUGUAAUCUUGGGGCUUAACCCUGAGCGUGCCCUCGAUACGGGUUGACUUGAGGAAGGUAGGGGAGAAUGGAAUUCCUGGUGGAGCGGUGGAAUGCGCAGAUAUCAGGAGGAACACCAGUGGCGAAGGCGGUUCUCUGGGCCUUUCCUGACGCUGAGGAGCGAAAGCGUGGGGAGCGAACAGGCUUAGAUACCCUGGUAGUCCACGCUGUAAACGGUGGGUACUAGGUGUGGGGUCCAUUCCACGGGUUCCGUGCCGUAGCUAACGCUUUAAGUACCCCGCCUGGGGAGUACGGCCGCAAGGCUAAAACUCAAAGGAAUUGACGGGGCCCCGCACAAGCGGCGGAGCAUGCGGAUUAAUUCGAUGCAACGCGUAGAACCUUACCUGGGUUUGACAUGGAUCGGGAGUGCUCAGAGAUGGGUGUGCCUCUUUUGGGGUCGGUUCACAGGUGGUGCAUGGCUGUCGUCAGCUCGUGUCGUGAGAUGUUGGGUUAAGUCCCGCAACGAGCGCAACCCUUGUUCACUGUUGCCAGCACGUUAUGGUGGGGACUCAGUGGAGACCGCCGGGGUCAACUCGGAGGAAGGUGGGGAUGACGUCAAGUCAUCAUGCCCCUUAUGUCCAGGGCUUCACGCAUGCUACAAUGGCUGGUACAGAGAGUGGCGAGCCUGUGAGGGUGAGCGAAUCUCGGAAAGCCGGUCUCAGUUCGGAUUGGGGUCUGCAACUCGACCUCAUGAAGUCGGAGUCGCUAGUAAUCGCAGAUCAGCAACGCUGCGGUGAAUACGUUCCCGGGGCU